rnacentral:rRNA from 1 species
GCAGGGAAUUUUGCGCAAUGGGCGAAAGCCUGACGCAGCGACACCGCGUGGGGGAAGAAGGCCUUCGGGUUGUAAACCCCUUUUCUCGGGGAAGAGAGAGGACGGUACCCGAGGAAUAAGGUUCGGCUAACUACGUGCCAGCAGCCGCGGUAAUACGUAGGAACCGAGCGUUGUCCGGAUUUACUGGGCGUAAAGAGCGCGUAGGCGGCCCAUCAAGUCCCAUGUGAAAUCUCCCGGCUCAACUGGGAGGGGUCAUGGGAAACUGGCGGGCUCGAGGGCAGUAGAGGAAGGUGGAAUUCCCGGAGUAGUGGUGAAAUGCGUAGAUACCGGGAGGAACACCCGAGGCGAAGGCGGCCUUCUGGGCUGCACCUGACGCUGAGGCGCGAAAGCAUGGGGAGCAAACCGG